GAUGAAGAACGUAGCGAAAUGCGAUAAGUAAUGUGAAUUGCAGAAUUCAGUGAAUCAUCGAAUCUUUGAACGCACAUUGCGCCCGCUAGUAUUCUGGCGGGCAUGCCUGUCCGAGCGUCAUUUCAACCCUCAAGCCCCCGGGCUUGGUGUUGGGGAUCGGCGAGCCUCCGCGCCCGCCGUCCCCUAAAUCUAGUGGCGGUCUCGCUGUAGCUUCCUCUGCGUAGUAGCACACCUCGCACUGGGAAACAGCGCGGCCACGCCGUUAAACCCCCAACUUCUGAACGUUUGACCUCGGAUCAGGUAGGAAUACCCGCUGAAUUUAAGCAUAUCAAUAAGCGGAGGA
rnacentral:misc_RNA from 1 species